GACGAACGCUGGCGGCGUGCUUAACACAUGCAAGUCGAACGGAAAGGCCCUGCUUUUGUGGGGUGCUCGAGUGGCGAACGGGUGAGUAACACGUGAGUAACCUGCCCUUGACUUUGGGAUAACUUCAGGAAACUGGGGCUAAUACCGGAUAGGAGCUCCUGCUGCAUGGUGGGGGUUGGAAAGUUUCGGCGGUUGGGGAUGGACUCGCGGCUUAUCAGCUUGUUGGUGUGGUAGUGGCUUACCAAGGCUUUGACGGGUAGCCGGCCUGAGAGGGUGACCGGCCACAAGGGGACUGAGAUACGGCCCAGACUCCUACGGGAGGCAGCAGGGGGGAAUAUUGCACAAUGGGCGGAAGCCUGAUGCAGCAACGCCGCGUGCGGGAUGACGGCCUUCGGGUUGUAAACCGCUUUCGCCUGUGACGAAGCGUGAGUGACGGUAAUGGGUAAAGAAGCACCGGCUAACUACGUG
rnacentral:rRNA from 1 species